rnacentral:lncRNA from 1 species
GCUUAUGUGAUAAGUUUGCUGUUUCUAAUCCUCCAUUUUCACCAUUUUAGGUUAGACAAGAUUCAAUAUGUCGACUUAUUGUUAUAUUUCAACCAAAGACAUUUUACCAAAUCGUAAUUGUUCCUUAACUGACAGCUCUGCGGACUGAGCGUGUUUCUCAUCCUCUGAAGUUCAGAAGUAUUUUUGCAGGAGGCAAUUUUCCUUCUCUGGCUGUUGGCUUCUUGUGUAUAGUCAUUUUGAAUUUCUGGAAGACGCAGAAUUCUCUUAUUCCAAAUGCGGUGAAUGAAAUGGACGAGGACACACCACCUGCUGAAAUGAGCUGGCCCUUCUGCUGGAUCGUACUUCGCAGCAGUCGUCACUGUAUGUUUUGAUCACACUUUAUAAAGACAUUCACAAGAGGACUUCCAGAACGGCUUCAGAAAGCGGCGGGAACAAUGGGAUAAGUGUGUCCAAAGAGAGGAGGAGUGUUUUAAAUGGGAU